GUGCUUGCUUUGGCAGCACAUACACUAAAAUUGGAAUGAUACAGAGAAGAUUAGCAUGGCUCUUGCGCAAGAUGACACGCAAAUUCGUGAAGCAUUUCAUAUUUAA